UACGUAGGCAGCAAGCGUUGUUCGGAGUUACUGGGCGUAAAGGGUGUGUAGGCGGUUCUUUAAGUUUGGUGUGAAAUCUCCCGGCUCAACUGGGAGGUGCGCCGAAUACUGAGGGACUAGAGUACGGGAGAGGAAAGUGGGAAUUCCUGGUGUAGCGGUGAAAUGCGUAGAUAUCAGGAGGAACACCGGUGGUGUAGACGGCUUCUGGACCGUAACUGACGCUGAGACACGAAAGCGUGGGUAGCAAACAGG
rnacentral:rRNA from 1 species